rnacentral:rRNA from 1 species
UACGUAGGGCGCAAGCGUUGUCCGGAAUUAUUGGGCGUAAAGAGCUCGUAGGCGGCUUGUCACGUCGAUUGUGAAAGCCCGGGGCUUAACUCCGGGUCUGCAGUCGAUACGGGCUAGCUAGAGUGUGGUAGGGGAGAUCGGAAUUCCUGGUGUAGCGGUGAAAUGCGCAGAUAUCAGGAGGAACACCGGUGGCGAAGGCGGCUUCCUGGACCGACACUGACGCUGAGGCGCGAAAGCUAGGGGAGCAAACGGG